GGGCAAUAAGAUACUCUCGGGACAAUAACUCCAAGAAAGAAAAGGAACAAUGACAUGCCAAACAAACGACUCAACUAGGUUACUGUUGACCUCAAAUUGGUAAAAGAAAUUACUAACACGUAAUCUUCCUUCUUCACAGUAAAGUAAAAUUAGACUAAUAUAAUCAACCAAACAAAAAUUCAGACUUUGCACUAGAAAAUAAAUAUUACUACAUCACUCCCCAUAAAAAUAAACUUGAUAAGGAUCAAUUCCUUUUCAUGGUUGACAAAAGAAACCCACAAGCUCAACUUAACACAGAGACAAGCAUUUACUAAUUUAGAGGAGAAAAACUUUUACACAUAACAUCAAAACUUGGACUCUCACAUUUUAUACAAGUGAACAAGAGCUUAACACUAAGAAAUAAUUUAAAACUAAUGCAUAUUAUAGGUUUAAGAGUCGCCACUUAAUUUUUAAAGAAAAAUCAAGAAAACUAUUUAUUUUCAACAGAUUAAAACAGGAAUCUAGUGAAAAUCUUAAAGGGUUCGGGGUUCUUAUUAAUAUCCUAGGAAGGUUUUUAAAGCACCUAGAAUAUCCGCUAAUGCGGUUAUCCGACAAUUUAUUUAUUUGGCUAACAUAAUUUUAACUUAACUUAAAUUGCAAAAUUGAACUAUUUUAUAGUUAGAACUAUUUUUAAAGGGGAAAAGGGGAAAUAUUAUCUAAGUGAAAUAUUUUGUGAAUUUAUUUAUUUAUUAUUUAAGUGAAGUAAAAGACGAAUAAUUUAGUUAAGUGAUUAAUUCAGAAUGUGUGUCCUUUGGGGAUUUUGAAUUUUUAAAACCUCAAGAUUAAAUAACAGAUAUCGGCAAGUAAGCAAACACAAUAAAGCAAAGAGGGAAAGAGACUUGGGCCCAAAUCUGGUUUAUCUGUCCGCCUGGGCCAGUAUUUGGGCCUAAUUUCUACUUUGGGCCUUAGACCCAUUUCUACACCUGUCCUAGACUAAUAAUAUUGGGUUUGUGGCCCAAUUUCUCUUUUGGUACCUGUCCUAACAACUAUCAAAUAAUGAUAAUUAAAACACAAAGGGCUUAGGCCCAAAAGUAACAAAAUACAAUUUUUUUUAAAAUAAGAGCAGGCUUGUUGGCCCAAUUUCUUCAACUCUUUGAUUCGAUGCAUAUUUUCAGGCUCCGGGACCUGUUCUUUGAUUUUUAUAGCCGGCUGACUCAAUAAAGAGAAGCACAAUCCCCGAAAUGCAAGGAGGAAGAUGAGUUCAUAGUGAACUCGGACAGAUUUCACAUGCAACAAAAAAGAGAUAAAAUACAUAAGUAAUACUCAUGAUAAAUGGGGGCAAUAAGAUACUCUCGGGACAAUAACUCCAAGAAAGAAAAGGAACAAUGACAUGCCAAACAAACGACUCAACUAGGUUACUGUUGACCUCAAAUUGGUAAAAGAAAUUACUAACACGUAAUCUUCCUUCUUCACAGUAAAGUAAAAUUAGACUAAUAUAAUCAACCAAACAAAAAUUCAGACUUUGCACUAGAAAAUAAAUAUUACUACAUCACUCCCCAUAAAAAUAAACUUGAUAAGGAUCAAUUCCUUUUCAUGGUUGACAAAAGAAACCCACAAGCUCAACUUAACACAGAGACAAGCAUUUACUAAUUUAGAGGAGAAAAACUUUUACACAUAACAUCAAAACUUGGACUCUCACAUUUUAUACAAGUGAACAAGAGCUUAACACUAAGAAAUAAUUUAAAACUAAUGCAUAUU
rnacentral:lncRNA from 1 species